UACAGAGGUCUCAAGCGUUGUUCGGAUUCAUUGGGCGUAAAAGGGGUGCGUAGGUGGCGAGGUAAGUUGGAUGUGAAAUCCCAGGGCUCAACCCUGGAACUGCAUUCAAUACUGCCUUGCUAGAGUACUGGAGAGGAGAUUGGAAUUUACGGUGUAGCAGUGAAAUGCGUAGAUAUCGUAAGGAAGACCAGUGGCGAAGGACGGAUCUCUGGACAGUUACUGACACUGAGGCACGAAGGCCAGGGGAGCAAACGGG
rnacentral:rRNA from 1 species